AAGUUAGCUCAGUCGGUAGAGCAACUGAUUCGUAAUCAGUAGGUCGUGUGUUCGAUUCACAUACUU
rnacentral:tRNA from 1 species